GACGAACGCUGGCGGCGUGCUUAACACAUGCAAGUCGAACGGAAAGGCCCUGCUUUUGUGGGGUGCUCGAGUGGCGAACGGGUGAGUAACGCGUGAGUAACCUGCCCUUGACUUUGGGAUAACUUCAGGAAACUGGGGCUAAUACCGGAUAGGAGCUCCUGCUGCAUGGUGGGGGUUGGAAAGUUUCGGCGGUUGGGGAUGGACUCGCGGCUUAUCAGCUUGUUGGUGGGGUAGUGGCUUACCAAGGCUUUGACGGGUAGCCGGCCUGAGAGGGUGACCGGCCACAUUGGGGCUGAGAUACGGCCCAGACUCCUACGGGAGGCAGCAGUGGGGAAUAUUGCACAAUGGGCGGAAGCCUGAUGCAGCAACGCCGCGUGCGGGAUGACGGCCUUCGGGUUGUAAACCGCUUUCGCCUGUGACGAAGCGUGAGUGACGGUAAUGGGUAAAGAAGCACCGGCUAACUACGUG
rnacentral:rRNA from 1 species